rnacentral:lncRNA from 1 species
UCUCCUCUAAAACUACUCUGCCAAACUUAACUAAACUUAGCCACAAUCAUUAUUAGGGUAUCUAGUUUUAAAAAUGUGUCUGGUGACCCGGCCAACCAACCAAGAUGGCCACCAUGGCUAUAAAUAGAACAUCGGGGUAAAAUGUAGAUUUUGGCUUAUAACUUUGAGACCAAAGCAUUUAGAGCAAAUCUGACUAGGCGUUAAGUUGUUUGUCAAGUCAAUAUAUAUCUGCCCUGAAAUUUUCAGAUGAAUUUGACAACUGGUUGUUGUGUUACUGCCCCUGAAUUGGUAAUUUUUAAGGAAAUUUUGCAGUUUUUCGUUAUUAUCUUGAAUACUAUUAUAGAUAGAGAUAAACUGUAAACUGCAAUAAUGUUCAGCAAAGUAAGAUCUACAAAUAAGUCAACAUGACCAAAAUGGUCAGUUGACCUCUUAAGGAGUUAUUGCCCUU